GGAUAAUCUACCCUUAGGACCGGGAUAACCCUGGGAAACUGGGGAUAAUACUGGAUAGGCAAUUAUUCCUGUAAUGGUUUUUUGUUUAAAUGUUUUUUCGCCUAAGGAUGAGUCUGCGGCCGAUUAGGUAGUUGGUUAGGUAAUGGCUUACCAAGCCGUUGAUCGGUACGGGUUGUGAGAGCAAGAGCCCGGAGAUGGAACCUGAGACAAGGUUCCAGGCCCUACGGGGUGCAGCAGGCGCGAAACCUCCGCAAUGUGAGAAAUCGCGACGGGGGGAUCCCAAGUGCCAUUCUUAACGGGAUGGCUUUUCAUUAGUGUAAAGAGCUUUUGGAAUAAGAGCUGGGCAAGACCGGUGCCAGCCGCCGCGGUAACACCGGCAGCUCUAGUGGUAACAAUUUUUAUUGGGCCUAAAGCGUCCGUAGCCGGUUUAAUAAGUCUCUGGUGAAAUCCUGCAGCUUAACUGUGGGAAUUGCUGGAGAUACUAUUAGACUUGAGACCGGGAGAGGUUAGAGGUACUCCCAGGGUAGAGGUGAAAUUCUGUAAUCCUGGGAGGACCGCCUGUUGCGAAGGCGUCUAACUGGAACGGUUCUGACGGUGAGGGACGAAAGUUAGGGGCGCGAACCGGAUUAGAUACCCGGGUAGUCCUAACUGUAAACGAUGCGGACUUGGUGUUGGGGUGGCUUUGAGCUGCUUCAGUGCCGAAGGGAAGCUGUUAAGUCCGCCGCC
rnacentral:rRNA from 1 species